AGGAAUCCCAAGCAACUGCGAUUGCUUCAGUAACGGCGAGUGAACUGGCACUACACAUGGCUCAACCUGAAUGAGAUUCCACCCGCACUGUUUCGGCAGCUAGCGGUCGGCUAUCGUGGGUUUCACCUGAUGCUGUGGGCUUUGGAGUGGGCAGCGGUGCAUGUGACUGGCUGUGGUACCAGGAAGGGCCCUGGAAUGGCCCACGACAGAGGGAUACUGUCCCGUACACCCAGCGUGUGCCACGGCCAUCACGGUGCUGCUGUUCAUAUCCACGAGUAGAGCGGCUUGGGACUGCAGUUUGAAGUGCGGGGUGUAUCCACCGCAAGGAGCAAUACCACCAUGGGACCGAUAGCGCACAAGUAGAGUGAUUGAAGGAUGCAAAGGACUUUGCAAAGAGGGUUAAAAGUCCCUGAAGCCUCGGCAGGAACGGCGGUGUGCGGUGCUGUGGAGAAUCGAGUCCGGCCUGCUUGGCCUGUGCAAACGGGUGCAUCGGUGUUGCAACGUCAACCGCACCCCGUGUGAUGGAUGAUGCCCCGAUGGUGACCCCGCGCACACCGCGCCUCAGGCCGGGUGUGCUGUUGUGAAUGUUGGCUUGCGUGACUGUCCCUAGGGAACACACCCCGUGUGUGCAACUGUGUGCGGGAACCUCCAGCAGGCGCACGGCGCACCGAAUGACUGUCGUAUACCAGGCAACCUUGGGCCAGCCCGCUGCUGGCCACUGAGCCUACCUCUCAAGGGGUGGAUGCAGUCGUGGCAGCAAUGCGGUGGCAGAAAGCCUGCCAGGGCCUGAGGCUUGCAGUGAUCUCACAGAGCAAAGUGUGCAUGGAACGGUACAGCCCCGCGUGUGGCCGUUGAGCCUCGGACACCUAUCGGUUUGCCUCGGUGCGUACAAUGUGACUACCCCUGUCGGGGAGGAAGCAGAGUCCCACGGACGGUACAACACAACAGGGUUAUGAGUGCGCGAUGUGCCCGGGCGGUGGUGGCCCCGUCCAAUGUGCAGUUGAGUGAAUCCGGUGCUGAACCUGGUGUGUCUGCGGGCAUGCCAGUCACUGUCGCCCAGUCAUGGCUCGGGGCAGACUGGUUCUUGGUGAUUGCACCACUUCGUUGGUGGUCACUGGGAGUCGGCCAGCCCCCCAGAUGGUGCACGGUGCAGAUUGAGGCAGCGGUGCCUGGUGCAGCAGUGCCGCACUCUGCCCGUCUUGAAACACGGACCAAGGAGUCUAUGGAGCUUGCAGGUUGGCUGGUGCACACAAGACCGGCAAGGCAUGGUGAAAGCAACAACCCAGAUGGUGCACGCUUACGGGUCUGCUUGAGGGGGCAGCUCCCGGCCGCGGUGAAUGCAUUGUGUCUCUACCGAUUCUCCUGUCGGGGUGUGGAAGCAGAUUUACAAGGCUUGCCGCUGUGCCACGGGACGCCUUCUCACAGCCCGUGACUGGUGCUACUGCUGCAUGGGAACCGGGCCUGAUGUCCAGCGGACAGGGUUUUGAGUGAAUGCAAGGUCCAUGGGACCCGAAAGGUGGUGAACUAUACCGUUCCAUGACGAAGCCGUGGGAAACUGCGGUGGAGGUCAGUCGCUGUUCUGACGUGCAAAUUGUGUAGCCUGAGUGUGGCAUAGGGGUGAAAGGCCAAUCGAACCAUCUAGUAGCUGGUUUCCCUCGAAGUUUCCCUCAGGAUAGCUGGGUUCAAGUGCGCCCUGAUUGAGUGGUUACGUUCGGUAAAGCAACGCAUGAGAGGCUUCUGCGGGGAGGCUACCCUCCUCGACCUAUUCUCGAACUGUGAAUGAGCGUGGGCAAACCCAUCCAAAGGCAUGCUUCUUCACCAAUGCCAGAGUCCGGGCUUCCACCCGGUUCUCACGGCCUUCUGAGCGUGUUUGUGGAUGGUCGCUUCCCACUACUCCACACCGAGGUGGCCGGUGCCAGGCUCCGGGUGACACUCCGCGUGGCCCCGCCGUCCCGCGCGCCCCACCGCAUUGGGUGCUGUGAGCAACAACCGUGUGUGAGGCUGCUGUUGUGGUGAACAAGUGUUCCUAUGUGGACCAUUAUUGGUAAGCAGUGCUGGUGAUGCGGGGUGCUCCGAGAGUGGACUUACAGAUCCCGAGUGCUGGCUCAUACACAGAUCCCACAAAGGGUGUUGCCUGCUAUGGAUAGCAGGUCGGUGGCCAUGAAGGUUGGAACCCGCUAAGGAAUGUGUAACAACUCACCUGCCGAAGUGUGCAGCCCCGAAAAUGGAUGGUGCCCAAGUCAGUGAAGCUGAGUUUGCCUUACAGUCCACCAAUGCUGUGGCAGCAGAGCAGAGCAUCAUUGUGUAGAAAGGACAUGGGAGCUUGCAGCGCCUGCUGGGGUUGACCCUGGCUGGAGUGGCUUCUGGAGCAGAUCUUGGUUGUAGUAGCGAGUACUCCAUCGGGUGAAGAGCAGAACAACCCUGCUGUGUGUGGUUGAGGACUGGAGUGGAGCAGGUUUCCGCACCAAACAGCCGUUGAAUGCGGGUCAGCCGACCGUGAGCCAAGUGGUAAGUUCACCAAACAACCAAAGCUGCCGUGAGCCCAUUGGGGUUGCCACACAGAACCACCGGGCCGGUGCGUUCCGGGAAGACGGUCCGUCCUUGCGUGAUUGGGAGCCACACCACGGUGCACAAUGCGGGCCAUCCAACCCCUGCGGGGGUCGUGGUCGAGGCUGUGCGCGGGCCUGCGGGCCGUGCGUGGGUGGCAUCAAAAAUUACAAGGACCUCCGGCUCCCGCAUCCGGCCCGCGUAUCCGCUGUGUCCCAGGGACUGUCUGGUGGGAUUGGCAAACAGGCAAGCAUGUGCAACAUUCUGCUGUGAUGGGCUUGGAAUGACUUGAAGGGUGGUGACGCUUUGUGAAUUGGAGCAAGCAGGCCACGGGGCAGUGCACCCCCCGAGGAGUUCUCGUUUCCUCCUGAUGCAGGCUCAUGUGGGCUAUCGAUUGGCAUGACAAAUGGUGGGGUAUGCCCUCCACUCAGCAAGGCAGUGUACCCUUUGCACUGGUGGUGUCUCGGCUAAAGAGAGUCUGCCCUCGGUUGUUGCUACCCUCUGCGGAGAAACAAUGAGAAGACCCUACGGUGGUCACUGGCUCCACUGAACAGCCUGUGGGGACGCUGUGUUCCUGGUCCCUGGUCCUCGUACUGAAUCACCGCAGCCGGUCUCCCCGGCCAGACGCCGCUGGUCAACGGAUUGAAUGCAGCUAAGGGAAGUCGGCAAACUAGCCGUGUACCUUCGGAAGAUGCGGUGGCUCCAGAGGCCAAGUCACUGGGCCCCGCCACAAGCGGUGUGCUUUGCAGGGGAAGCGGCCCCGCACGGUGGCCUCGGUCAUUGUAUGGGGCUUGUCACCCCUGUGGGCACCGUUGAUGCACCACUCGGAUCACUUCACCGUCUCUGUCUGAUGCAAUCCUCACUGUGGUGGGGGGCCGGUCGGCACUCGUGCCGGCCGCGCCCGUCCCAGUGUCUGCUUAGUGGCCCACAUGGAACUGUUGCUGUGCAGGGGAAUCUGACUGUUUAAUUGAAACACAGCUUUGUGACGGGACCAGCUGGCUGGUACCAUGAGGUGACUUCUGCCCAGUGCUCUGAUUGUCACUGCGAAGAGAUUCAGCCAAGCGCGGGUAAACGGCGGGAGUAACUAUGACUCUCUUAAGGUAGCCAAAUGCCUCGUCAACCAAUUAUUGACGCGCAUGAAUGGAUCAACGAGAUUCCUGCUGUCCCUAGGUGCUGUCCGGUGAACCAACAGCCAAGGGAACGGGCUUGGGUGUGUCAGCGGGGAAAGAAGAGCCUGUUGAGA
rnacentral:rRNA from 1 species